AASSSKGUUGCRGUUAAAAGCUCGUAGUUGGAUUUCGGGUGGGUUGGCGCGGUCCGCCUCUGGUGUGCACUGCGCCGGUCCACCUUCCAGCCGGGGACGGGCUCCUGGGCUUAACUGUCUGGGACUCGGAGUCGGCGAUGUUACUUUGAGUAAAUUAGAGUGUUCAAAGCAAGCCUACGCUCUGAAUAUGUUAGCAUGGAAUAACGCGAUAGGACUCUGGCCUAUCCGUUGGUCUGUGGGACCGGAGUAAUGAUUAAGAGGAACAGUCGGGGGCAUUCGUAUUCCGUUGUCAGAGGUGAAAUUCUUGGAUUUACGGAAGACGAACUUCUGCGAAAGCAUUUGCCAAGGAUGUUUUCAUUAAUCAAGAACGAAAGUUGGGGGCUCGAAGA
rnacentral:rRNA from 1 species